GGGGGCGACAGGUAUCGAUCUAGCCCUUUGAUCCGUGAGUGGCAUGCGGAGGUUGUCAGGAGGCCUCCUUAAACACCUGGCAAAAAUCAAACGCCAAAAACACGAUCCGGGUACCCUUCGCGGGGCCCAUGGCGUUACCGCUAGCCGCCUAAUAACGGCUGCCGUCCGCUCAUCCUCGUCUGUGGGAUGAGGCCGGGCGUCGACAACAGGCUUCCGCCACAGUACAAGGCGGAUCCGCCGCGCAGUUUGGCGGAGGCCGGGUUUACGCGUCUCAGGUAGAUUCGGCGAGAGCGACAUGAGGCUUACCUUUCAAAAUCGUGCCCGUUCGAGUUUGAAGGGGAAAUUUAAAGAACCGGCUAAGCAUGUAGAAGCUUCGGAACUCGAAGGUUAGAGACGCGAGUUCAAUUCUCGCCGCCUCCAUAA
rnacentral:tmRNA from 1 species